rnacentral:tRNA from 1 species
GAAGACUAAGAAUUUUAAUGAAAGCUGCUAACUUCUCAUUAUAGCGGUUUAACUCCGUUAAGCCUUCU